rnacentral:rRNA from 1 species
AGAGUUUGAUCCUGGCUCAGGAUGAACGCUAGCGGCAGGCUUAACACAUGCAAGUCGAGGGGCAGCAUAAUGGAUAGCAAUAUCUAUGGUGGCGACCGGCGCACGGGUGCGUAACGCGUAUGCAACCUACCUUUAACAGGGGGAUAACACUGAGAAAUUGGUACUAAUACCCCAUAAUAUCAUAGAAGGCAUCUUUUAUGGUUGAAAAUUCCGAUGGUUAGAGAUGGGCAUGCGUUGUAUUAGCUAGUUGGUGGGGUAACGGCGUCACCAAGGCGACGAUACAUAGGGGGACUGAGAGGUUAACCCCCCACGACCUGGUACUGAGACACGGACCAGACUCCUACGGGAGGCA